UACGGGGGGUGCGAGCGUUGUCCGGAAUCACUGGGCGUAAAGGGCGCGUAGGUGGUUUGAUAAGGGUGUGGUGAAAGCCCGGGGCUCAACCCCGGGUCUGCCGUGCCGACUGUCAAACUCGAGGGCUGUAGAGGCAGACGGAAUUCCGGGUGUAGCGGUGGAAUGCGUAGAGAUCGGAAAGAACACCAACGGCGAAAGCACUCUGCUGGGCCGACACUGACACUGAGAGACGAAAGCUAGGGGAGCGAAUGGG
rnacentral:rRNA from 1 species